AUUGAACGCUGGCGGCAUGCCUUACACAUGCAAGUCGAACGGCAGCGCGGACUUCGGUCUGGCGGCGAGUGGCGAACGGGUGAGUAAUACAUCGGAACGUACCCUGUUGUGGGGGAUAACUAGUCGAAAGAUUAGCUAAUACCGCAUACGACCUGAGGGUGAAAGUGGGGGACCGCAAGGCCUCACGCAGCAGGAGCGGCCGGUGUCUGAUUAGCUAGUUGGUGGGGUAAAGGCCCACCAAGGCGACGAUCAGUAGCUGGUCUGAGAGGACGAUCAGCCACACUGGGACUGAGACACGGCCCAGACUCCUACGGGAGGCAGCAGUGGGGAAUUUUGGACAAUGGGGGCAACCCUGAUCCAGCAAUGCCGCGUGUGUGAAGAAGGCCUUCGGGUUGUAAAGCACUUUUGUCCGGAAAGAAAUCGCGCUGGUUAAUACCUGGCGUGGAUGACGGUACCGGAAGAACAAGCACCGGCUAACUACGUGCCAGCCGCCGCAGUAA
rnacentral:rRNA from 1 species